rnacentral:rRNA from 1 species
UACAGAGGGUGCUAGCGUUGUUCGGAAUCAUUGGGCGUAAAGGGCGUGUAGGCGGUUUGCUAAGUCAUGUGUGAAAUCCCUCGGCUUAACCGGGGAACGACGCAUGAAACUGGCAAGCUAGAGUACCAAAGAGGGGGGUGGAAUUCCCGGUCGUAGCGGUGAAAUGCGUAGAGAUCGGCAGGAACACCCAGGGGGAAACCAGUCGACUGGGCAUCUACUGACGCUGAGGUGCGAGAGCGUGGGGAGCGAACCGGG